ensembl:lncRNA
CUGCAGUCAAUGCGUAACCUGGUCUGGGAACGGGGGCCAGUCCAAGCCAGUGGGGGAACAAUGGCCCCUCAGUUCAAGUCCAACAAAAGACCUGUCGGACUUGUUUGAAUUUCAGAGCACGUCCUUUCUCACACAGAGGGAUGGACUAUACCCUGGCCAGAAGCAGCAGCCCCCCCACCCCACACCAACCAAUGAAAAAAAAGGGAGAAAAAAAAACAUGCCGACUCUCUCAGCCCAACAGUGCACUUUUCCAUUUUGGGCCGUGGACAAAUAGGUUAUGGGAAACUUCUCUCCCUCCCUCCCUACCUCCUCUUCACUCUCUCCGGCUCUCCACUCUCCCCACUUCUCUCUUGCACUUGGAAUAAGCCUCGGCUUACAGCAGUGCAACUGAGGCUCGCGUAAUGAACUAAGUAUAAGCGGCAAUUUUAAACGAAGUGGUGUCUAAACAGCACUGCGUACGGGAGCUUGUUUCCAUCCGGGAUGAAUAAAGACCAACGGGUUUAUCCUGGAAAAUAAGCAACUCAGAAACGUAAGUGCCUCUGAACGACUUCUUCAGUUUUGCUGAUUUUGCUGCUGUUUCCUUAUUUAUCUUAGAUAGAUCUUUAUGAUUUCUAAUUUAGUCUAAACACUUCGUUUCUAUAAAAUCUACGAUGAACAUUUUGAGGUACAUGUAAAGCAGAUGUAUGUUGAGCAUCAUGUAUCCUUUCUCACCUCUAGUCCACAACGUCCACAAAGGCCGUGGUGAAAGAUACAAGAACAAAUAUUUCUCAUGUAGAGGACAUUUUCUUCAGUACAAAAGGCAACUGUUACCUUAAAGGUGAAUGUGCAUUCCGGCAGUUUUUUCAUUUUGGUUACACUAAUAUUUUUCUAGGUAUGGUGUUUGGUGACUGGAUUUGGUGCUUGGUAAACUUAACAAAGUUGUAAGGGAGUGCUUGCAAUGUAUGUGAGGUCACCUUUAAAACAUCAAUAGCCUACCUUAGCAGGUUUUAACUGACGACUAACGGAAAUUACUGAUAUGUUGUAGUUAGUUACCUCUGUCACUUCUGCACCUGACCAAAGGUUUAGCUAAUGACCUAUUGAAAUAUUGUAGACUGCUCUUGGAAACAGUGGAUAAAACAGAAAAAAGGCAGAAAAUGAAUAUAGAUUAUAGAUAGUGUUUCUGCUUUGCUUCUUUGAUAAGCUUUUACAUUUUGUCCCUUGCAUUAGACCUUUAAUGCAUACAUUUCUCUCGCCCCCACAAAAACACAUUUGUCCAGACUCCAGCGGGAAAAUCUGUUUGUGUCUUCUAAAAUAUACAUUUGUGGUGUAACAUAUAUAAAAUGUUGUUAAUGAAUUUUCACGGCAUGUUGUCAAUUUACAAUCACUUGACCUACUGUGAUUCAAAGAACAUUUCCAAGGAGAAACUGCUGAACAUGCGAGGUGUUUCUGUAAGUUCAAUGCAACUUGCUUUGAAGGCUACUUGUGAGUCCACUGCAUGCAAAAUGAUAUUCAUAUCAGUCCAAAAGUAGCCUGCCUCUUGAUGAAUUAGUUAAUAGAACAACCUGGUACCUUUCCUUUAUGGAUGCUCUUGAACUUGGACAUGAUACGUGUAUUGAACAUUGUAUGGACCUUCUUCAGGAUGCUAUAUUGGAGUCGAUGUUUGGAGGGUAAUGGAAUACUCCUGACAUAGACUUAUGAGCACUUAUGUGCAAGUGUGUUCAUUUCAUGUACACCGUGAGCACGUGUUAAUAAUGAUGUUAGAUUAGAAAGGGGGUCGAGGGCAUGUGUGUUGCAGUGAUGAAAAUAACAGGAAGUUACAGGCACCUGUCGGUGCAACGGAGUGUGGUGCUUAAUUGAUUAACUGAUUUGGAUUGAUAUCAUGGCAAAGAUCCCUGUGGACUGUCAAAUCGAUCGUGCGUUUAGAUGUUGCCCCUCCCACAGGUAUAAGGGGUGUUCGGCGCUGUGGUGGUGUAAAUCAUUUCUUAGAUUUACUCAUUGGUGCACUCGAAUACUGUGUUUGUUGAGUGUGAGGGAAAUAACUUGGAGAGACCCGUUUUAAAUUACCAAGGUGAUUUUAUUGCGCACGUUCCUUCUCAACGCUGGCGCGCGCACAGGCGCACGGGCACACGCGCUAGCGCGCACUCUCACACACAGAGAGACUUGAAACCAUAUACGGUCUAAAUAUGGCACCGCUUGUGGCAUUUUGCUAAAGUAUAAUCAUUGCAAUCAUACAGUUAAUUUUAUAUGAAAGAAUAGAGACUGAUUUAUUAAGUAAGGAAUGACCUACGCCAUCUAGAAUUAGAAACAUCCUAUAGACAUAGUACCCAGGUGUAAAAAUAAUGGAACGGGAUUAUGGUGAAAACAGCUUUUCUUUGACUCACAUUAGGGAUCACAUCCGUAAUUUUCUCUAAACCAGGCCCGGUUCAACGCAACUGCAAUGUAUUGGCAGCUCGAUUCAGACUGCGAUGAAAUAUACAGACAUGACGUUGUCCUGCCAUUCCAGAAACACAUUUAUAGACAUUCCUCCAGUCCUUGGUUUUGUCAGACAAGAAACGAGAAACAUCCCCAUAACAGGCGCAAGGAACGUUUUACGGUCGAGAGGCAGUCUUUUCCGCUGUCUUCUGCGUGCUCGUCCUUUUUAGUCGGUGGAUUCACCGAACACUGGCGAGAUGUCUGAGCUACGCGUGCUAUAGCUGCGUUCGACAGGGGCGCACGGAGACUGCAGCUCGAGUAUGCAGAUGGGCUCGAAACGUGCCCACGCGAUUUCAAAUUACAUCAUCACAAUCACCUUAGAAUCCCGCGGUCGGGGACCUUUGACCUCGUCUGGUUGGUCCAGAUUUUGGUACUGGAAGUCUGUCCCCUCCCCCCUCCCCCCCAUCUGUCAGAGAUGGCCCUUUUUUCCGCCUUCUAGACCGUUGGCAGCAGCGAGCCAGCAGAACACGACCUUCGUCUCUUCCUCCGAGGCAGCUUUUGGGCGCAUCGUCUCUCUUCCCAAGACCCGUCACAUGCGAGCAACCUGCCACCCUUUGGCCAAAAGACACCUUCUCUACACUGAAACUAAACAAGCGGCUGUUAUUCGGUGGGCUGUUUCUCUGGAAUCGGAUUUCCCCGAUGUCCUCCUCGCUGCUUGCGUGGGAUAUCUAUUGCUCCCGAUACAAUUUAAUAGAGGGAAAGGAGCUUUUUUUGUGAGAUGUGUGUCCAUUUGAAUUGCAAAUAAGGGCCUGUGCAAGGAUGACUGCACAUUACUCCACUGGCAACACAGUUCAACACAGAGUAUUACUGUUUUAUGUCAUGAGGUUGUGAUUUCAUCUCUGGGAUUACGUCUCGUUUUGAUUUUUUUGAGAAAGUAUGGUUUAUGAUUAAAGUAUGUGAACAAUCUGCCAGCGCAAGUGCUAUGGGGAAAAGAAACAAUGGAGUAGCAUAUGGAGGAUCUUUGAUUGAGAUUUAACUUCAUCGCGACGGAUCCAUAAAAGCGAUAAGGAGUGGUGAUGAAAGCGAAUGACAGGACAUGCCCUGGAAUACUGUUGAAGACUAGGAAGUGGGUUGUUAUCUUUGGUUAUCUAGCUGUAUGAGUGUGUUGGCCGUCAUAAAGCUAGAUAACCGAAAGUAAAAACUACUUCCAAGAUCAUCGAAGUCUUUGGAUUGGAAAACUUUAUAUGGAGGCAUAUUGAGGUGCAUUUGAAAAUUUUACAAUCUUACCUCGUUUAUGACUCCUGCAUUUGAGAGCUGAAAUCUACAAUGAGACUAAGUUAUAAUUAGAAAAUGUUUAGGAAGGGUAAUAUUUCACUAAUUAUAAAAUGCAAGCAAGUUAUUUUCAGGGUUGAGUCGGCUGGGUUGCGAUACUCUCUCUUGCACACACACACACACACACACACACACACACACACACACACACACACACACACACACACACACACACACACACACACACACACACACACACACUCUAUCUCUCUCUCUCUCACACACACACACAAACACACACACCGAGAGAGACAGAAAGAGAGGGAGAGAGAGACACACACAGAGAGAACUUUUGAAAUUGUUAUCUUCAUCUUUAUUCUGUUUGAUUUUAUUUCAUUUCCAACUGUAUGAAGGAAAUAGCCUGUAAUUGAAAAUCUAGUCAGGUAUAUAUAGUACAUGUAGUUUUUUAAAACUUGUAAUUUUUGUGGUCUACUCAUGUUCAGUUGUCUUUUGAUUAGCCUACUUUUUGGUAAAUUCCACGUGUCCGUCUUUUUUUCUUUUUUUCUUUCUUUCUUUCUUUCUUUUUUUUUUUUUUUUUUUUAAUUCAAGCAUCAUUGACUCUAUCCGGGAAACCGCCCUGGCAUCCCAAACAGAAAUAAUUAGGACAUAUAUAGACCUGACAAAAACGGAGUGGGGUGGGCGAAUAGAGGAGUGAGGGGGUCGUCCCUUCUUAAUUGAUUCCGUUAAACGGAGCGCAGGAGAUGUGAACGACUGGACGCCCCCAUUCCCACGCUCGGGGGCAAGUGGCAAUGCCAUGCCCAAUCCCAAUAUGACAGACAGCGCCUUACUAGCGGGGGGGCCGAGGGCGACACAGGUCAUGAAAAGACGUCAAGUGCACCCGACUCAUCUGCAUCCCUUUAGAAAGGAGGUGGCGGUUCCCAUAGCCACCAGACGCAGGCCCCUAUAGGAGUAGCAACGGUUCUGAAUGCGCAAACUUUCAAUAAGGCCUUUUAAUAUGCACAUCGUGUAGUGUCUUUGUAGUACAAAAAUAUACGAGUAAUAUAGGACAUAUGGAGGCCAAUACAUAGUUUAAUAGUAAAAUGCAAAGAAGAAUUUAGAGCGAAGUUUUGGUAAAAUAACAGAAGUGGCCUCUGUACUCGGAAAUAAAGUACCAGUCAAUAGAUGACAUCACUGCUAUUAUGCUCUCACUUGUAUUUGAACUUGAGCGGUGAGGCUUUCUUUUGAGACCAAGCACACAAACAUACCUCAAGUUCAACUGCAGUCAGGCCUAAAAUGGCUGAAGUGUCUAACUUCAGUACGUGGAUUUUUAUACCAACAUCUACAUUAAAAAAAAAAAGUGUAUCCAGUUUCAAGCAUGCAUUCCUAAUAGCAUUCCAUUUCCAUGUCAAAAUCCAUGUUGUAAAGAGCAUUAAUUCGCUUAUUAGCGUAUUAAUUAAUUUACCUUUUACAGAGGCGUGUGAACUGACAGACUACUGUGGCCACCUUGUAAUUUAGGUUUAUAUUUUUCUAGCCUCGUUCAAGUGCUGCCAGGUAGUAAUCAUAUAUAGGCAUCUACACUUUGGGCUUAAUAUUUCUUAUAGCUGCAUUGUCAUUUUUAUUUCCUUCAUUUUUACCUUACCGUGGCAAUACAAUAGAUCAUUGAAACGGAAUUACUAAGAUAAUAGGCUGAUUGCUGAAUGUAGUAGUCUACUAUCCACUAAAACCUAGCGCAUUUUAUGAAACAGGUUCACACACAAGCUUAUUGUUCGUUUAGGUAAAAAUAUUUUAAGAAAUGUAGAUCAUGUUGUUUUAAUCGUUCUUACGUGGACAGCAUGGGUUUUGUAUGCCUUUGAGGUACAUUUUCCACCUGUACAUUAUCGUGUUUCCCAGAGCUAGGCUACACCAAACCCGGGAUAAUUCGAAUUAAACCUUGCUGUGCGCCUUUGUCAUGAGAAUAAAGUAAGACAACUGCAAGCACAGAAGAGGGCCGCACCAUUCGAUCCCCAUCCAUGCAUGGUCUAAAUUCAGAUGUAGCACAGCAGCGCCUAGUUAAGACGACGGAAUUCUUGCAUCCUCAGACGAGGCCAUGAAGUGUCUCUUGUUGGAUGUCCAUAUUUAGAAGGACAUAUCACCCGCCAUUAUAAUUUGCCUUCGAGAACAACGUGAGAACACAAUAUGGUCAAGCAGUGAAUAACGAAGAUUCAUUGUCGAUUGAAAUGCUCGUCUGGUGUUCUGAAUAGAGGUAUUGUCUUCCAGACCGAGGCCACGCUAAAAUGUCAGUGCCGUGUUAAGAACUUAAUAAUUGAAUUAAGUCGGGAUUCUUCAGAUGAAUGACUAGACUAUAAGGCUACUGUGAGAAACACACAGUAAAAAGGGGUUAGGUUAUACUGUGUGUGUAUCAGCAUUUAGUCCUAAAAACACACACAUAACGGAUCAGCUUAUAGAAGUUUGUGAGAAUACAAAGUGCAUUGUUAAUUGACAAGGUCUUAUCAGAGAACCUUUACUCACAGCAAUACAAAUACACCCCUGUGGCACACUGUGGCACACUGGGAAAAACGUUGGUUAAAAAUAUUAAAUGAAUGUGAAUGUAUAUUUCUGGUCAUGUUUUUGUGCAUUGGCACCAUGUAUGUGCAUUUCUCAUAUGUUCUGUGGCAUAUCUGUGUGUGGAGCACCAAAUGUCCCUCUCUCUCCACCUCAGAUGCACACCUCCCCCUGUCUGUCUCUGAGGUCACAAACUCAGUCCAUCCAGCCAACAUGACAACAUUACAAUCUAAUGCUGAAACCCUGGUGUUGCUAGAUACAGGGAAACUAUGGAGAGAAUUCAAAGACCUCCUUGAAAUCCAGCCUUUAUAGAGAAAACCUACACAAGGGGCGAGAUGAGAGGCAGCUCUUCUGAAGAGGUGAAGAUGGACAGCAAUCAGCGGAGGUCAAAGAUGUCUGUACCAUACCUCUUCGACAUUGGGUGGAACUAUGGGAAAACUCUGGACAUAGCAGUCUUCUUCCACAGCGCAAUAAAAGGAAAAUCCUGUUAUGGACAAGCUAAAGCUAAAAAUGACAGUUUAAUGAAGACUUGACUGUUUUUGUCAUGGCAACUGAUGCUUAAUAAGAGUACUGCCGGUUCCCCAAGACAAUUUCCUGCAAAUGUGAAAGGAAUGUUGGGAAAUGCUGAGAAUAUCUUCACCUUGCCACAAGUUGCCUCAGGGACCAGUACCACAGUGGCUGCACAGUUUUGUUUUAUGGAUCCCACAUAUCUUUGACAAUGUGGAAACAGGAUUAUAAAAAUACUACGCAAUCUAAAGCACUAUGAAACUACAACAUUCAUCAUCGAAUGUGUGCACUUUGAAAGUUACAUUUCCAUUCUGUGUUCUGUAUUGGAAAUUGUUGCUGUGUUUUUAUUUUACUUUGAAGAUUUGUCUUUAUUUUUCUAAUAAAUGAUAUGUUGUAUAAAACAGAAGAGAUCCUGCCUUUGUCUUGCUUUGAUUACCUCCGAGUGGAUUGUUGAAUAUUUAAUGCUGAGGUAUUAAAAUGAUCAGUCUAAGAAUCAUGGGGAUGAGAUGGCUCCUCUGGUGCUGUUUCAGAAGACUGAUGUGCUGUGAGCUGUCACCCGCUUGUCCAAAUGGAACAAAUGAUGUUCUGGGG